AUGCAGAACCCUACUGUCUCGCCGGCCUUCAACCACACUGUCCACGUCAACAACAAGCAACACAUACGGCGAGUCUACCAGGGGAAGAGAAACGUGGUCGUGUAUUACAACGAAGAACCCGAGUAUGGUGACCAUGACGAGGUGGAUUUUGAGUUCUUGGGCAACGUCGAUGGCAAGCCAGUGGCUCUCCAGACCAACAUCUUCCUCAAUGGCCAAGGCUAUAGGGAGCAGCAGUUCUACCUCUGGUUCGACCCAUCAGCAGCUAUCCAUGACUACAAAAUACUCUGGAACGAGCACCAGCUCGUGAUGCUGGUCGAUGAAACGCCCAUCCGGGUGCUCAAGAACCUUGCGGGCCGCAUGCCAGGCUACCAGUUCCCGAUGAGGCCGAUGAGAAUCCGAGCGAGCAUCUGGGACAGCUCUCCCUGGGCGACCGACAAUGGCAGGAUCAAGGUUGACUGGAACCGUGCGCCAUUUACCUCCGCAUUCCAAAGGUUCAAUAUUGACGCCUACCCCGCCACCGGAGGUGCGCCGUGUGGCUCGCCCAACCUGUGGUGGAACAAGUUUUGGGACCUGACGCCCGCACAGAAGGCAGCGUACAAAAAUGUCAAGAGCAAGUACAUGACCUACAACUACUGUGAUGACAAGGCAAGGUUCAACUUCCGUGUUCCGGUAGAGUGCAGCCACAACUAA
rnacentral:rRNA from 1 species